rnacentral:rRNA from 1 species
UUAGAGGCAAACGGGUGGAGCCGCAAUGCGUCGACCCGGGGGAUUCAACCAGGCCGUGCGUUCGGGACGCGCCGGGGCUGUGCGGAGCUGUAAAGCCCGUGCUUCGGCGUGGUCUCCGGGCGGACUGGUGCACUUUCCUCGGGCCGAUGGCCACGACCGGCUCUCCGCGCGGCCAAAAGCCAAGCCGGGAAGGUGACCGCGGGCCCUGCGCCUGCGGUGUUAUAGCCCGGCUUGCGUUGAGCUCGUCGGAGGGCCGAGGAAGCGUUGCCGUUCGUCGCCACCCUCCGGCCAUCCUUGCUCGUCACGACUGGGGCGGACUGCUCUGCCAGUGCUCUCCCGACCGCGAGCGUAGGAAGGGUCGGUACGGUGCGACGUGCUUCGGGCCAGUGGCGAAUCGGUCGGUCCUCCACCCGACCCGUCUUGAA